UUAAGAAGAACUUCUGAUCAUAAGCAUGGGGACUUCCUAGACAACCAACUGAGGGGGAAAUGGCUUAAGCAGUGUUUUGACAUUGUGUAUUUCAGUUCCUCUGAGAUAAAUCAGCAGCUACCCAUUCAGAUCAAUGUAAUGCUGUAAGUUGGGGUGGAAUGAGAGCUUUUUGAGCAAUGUUAGGCCUACUUUCUCUUCUUUCUGUAUUCCAGUAGGACUUUUCUCGGAUUAUGCACACUGGCUUCUGCACUCAAGGGAUUAUCAUAAGGAACCAGAAGGCUGAGGAGUCUCUUGGGAUUGUUACACAGCCGUGGGCGACAGACUGAAUAUCACUGAUGGGACUCAAAUCAGAGAUACCCUUGAGGCAGGCAGAAGUCCUGAAGGCUGACAUGACAGAUUCGAAGUUGGGUCCAGCAGAAGUCUGGACAUCCAGACAGGCUCUACAGGACUUAUAUCAGAAAAUGCUAGUGACCGAUUUGGAAUACGCUUUAGAUAAAAAAGUGGAGCAGGACCUUUGGAAUCAUGCCUUUAAAAAUCAGAUCACGACGCUACAGGGUCAGGCGAAAAAUAGAGCAAAUCCAAAUCGGAGCGAAGUUCAGGCAAACCUCUCUCUGUUCUUAGAGGCAGCUAGUGGCUUCUACACACAGUUAUUACAGGAAUUGUGCACAGUUUUUAAUGUAGACUUGCCAUGUCGUGUGAAGUCUUCCCAGCUGGGAAUCAUUAGCAAUAAACAGACGCACACCAGCGCCAUAGUGAAGCCGCAAUCUAGCUCCUGCUCUUACAUCUGCCAGCACUGCCUUGUCCACCUUGGAGAUAUUGCUCGCUAUAGGAAUCAGACCAGCCAGGCAGAGUCUUACUACAGACACGCAGCUCAGCUUGUCCCUUCUAAUGGUCAGCCUUACAAUCAGUUGGCUAUUUUAGCUUCCUCCAAAGGAGACCACUUGACCACAAUUUUCUACUACUGCAGAAGCAUUGCUGUGAAGUUUCCUUUCCCAGCUGCCUCCACUAACCUACAAAAAGCACUUUCUAAAGCACUGGAAAGUCGUGAUGAGGUGAAGACUCGAUGGAGUGUGUCUGACUUCAUCAAGGCGUUUAUUAAAUUCCAUGGCCAUGUGUACCUGAGUAAGAGCUUGGAGAAGCUGAGCCCUCUUCGAGAAAAGCUGGAAGAACAGUUCAAGAGAUUGUUAUUCCAAAAGGCCUUCAAUUCUCAACAGUUAGUACAUAUUACUGUUAUCAAUCUGUUUCAACUGCAUCACCUGCGAGACUUCAGCAAUGAAACAGAGCAGCACAGCUACAGCCAGGAUGAGCAGCUCUGCUGGACACAGUUACUGGCUCUCUUCAUGUCCUUUCUUGGAGUUCUGUGCAAGUGUCCUUUACAAAAUGACUACCAGGAGGACUCUGGGGCUGCAUAUCCUCUUCCAGCUGUGAAGGUUUCAAUGGACUGGCUGAAACUUAGGCCCAGUGUUUUCCAGGAGGCAGUGGUUGAUGAAAGACGGUACAUAUGGCCCUGGCUGAUUUCUCUUCUAAACAGCUUCCAGCCUCAUGAAGAAGAUCUGUCCAAUAAUAAUGCAACCCCCCUUCCAGAAGAAUUUGAGUUGCAAGGAUUCUUGGCUCUGAGGCCCUCAUUCAGGAACUUGGAUUUUUCCAAAGGCCACCAGGCAAUUACAGGAGAUAAGGAAGGGCAACAACGUCGGAUACGACAACAGCGUCUGAUCUUCACAGGCAAAUGGAUUGCUGAUAACCAGCCGAGGUUGAUUCAGUGUGAAAACGAGGUAGGAAAGCUGUUGUUUUUGACGGAAAUCCCAGAAUUAUUGCUAGAGGACCCUAGUGAAGCCAAAGAGAGUCUCGCCUUGCAGGAAACAUCUGUUGCAGAGCCACUAUCUACAGAUGGGAGCCCUGGACUCAAAUCAGUUCUGUCCUCUGGCAGAAGCCUGAACAACAACUGUGAUGCAGGAGAAAAACCAAUGGUCACAUUCAAAGAGAACAUCAAGCCACGGGAAAUUAACAGAGAGCAAGGGCGAAUCUAUCCCCCUAAAGAUGUCGGGAGGGAAAGACGGGACUAUAGCAAAGGAAUAGUAGCCAAUAAGAAUGAUGGAAAGAAGGAUAACAAUAAAAGAAAGAAUGAGACCAAGAAAUGCAGCUUGGAUAAGAUGCAGGAAGCAGGAAAGCAGAACGUGGCAGUUCAGGUGAAAUCCCAGACGGAGAUGAGGAAGACCCCGGUGUCUGAAGCCAGGAAAACACCUGUAACUCAGACUCCAAGUCAGGCCAGCAGUUCUCAGUUCAUCCCCAUUCAUCACCCAGGAGCCUUCCCUCCCCUUCCUAGCCGGCCAGGGUUUCCACCUCCAACCUAUGUUGUCCCCCCUCCUGUGGCUUUCUCCAUGAGCACAGGGUACACCUUCCCAGGUGGUGUUUCUGUCCCAGGAACCUUCCUCCAGCCCACAGCUCACUCGCCUGCAGGAAACCAGGUGCAAGGUGGGAAACAGUCCCACAUUCCUUACAGCCAGCAACGGCCCUCUGGACCAGGGCCAAUGACCCAGGGACCUCAGCAAACACCACCUCCUUCCCAGCAACCCCUCUCAUCUUUACCAGCUCAGGCAACAGCACAGUCUGCAAGCCAGUUACAGGUCCAAGCUCUGGCCCAGCAACAGCAGCAACAGUCCCCUACGAAAGCUGUGCAGGGCCUGGGGAAGAGCCCACCACACCACUCCGGAUUCCAGCAGUAUCCGCAGACAGACUCGUCAAAGCAGCUCUGGAACCCGCCUCAAGUCCAAGGCUCACUGGGGAAGAUCCUGCCUGUAAAGCAGUCCUAUUACCUGCAGGCCCAGGACCCUCUAAAAUUAUUUGAACAGUCAUUACAGCCUCCCGUGAUGCAACAGCAACCUCUGGAGAAAAAAAUGAAGCCUUUCCCAAUGGAGCCAUAUAACCAGAACCCCUCAGAAGUCAAGGUGCCAGAAUAUUACUGGGACUCUUCCUAUGGCAUGGCUGACAAUAGGGUGAUGGCACAGCAGUCUAACAUGGACCGCAGGGGAAAACGGCAAGGAGUCUUCCGCCCAGAGCAGGAUGCUGUCUCCAGGAUGACCUUUGAGAAGUCCCUGCUGGAAAAACCAUCAGAGUUGAUGUCUCAGUCAUCAUCUUUCCUGUCCCUCAGUGGCUUUUCUCUUAAUCAGGAAAGAUAUCCAAAUAACAGCAUGUUCAAUGAGGUAUAUGGGAAAAACAUGAAUACCAGCACAAAAACAGAAGUCACCCCUUCGGUUGCCCAUCAGGAGACUUCACUAUAUUCUCUCUUUGAAGGGACUCCGUGGUCUCCAUCCCUUCCAGCCAGCUCAGAUCAUUCGACACCAGCCAGCCAGUCUCCUCACUCCUCCAACCCCAGCAGCUUGCCAAGCUCCCCUCCAACCCAUAACCACAAUUCUGUUCCUUUCUCCAACUUCGGACCUAUUGGGACUCCAGACAACAGAGACAGGAGAGUUGCAGACCGCUGGAAAACAGAUAAACCAGCAAUGGGAGGGUUUGGUCUGGACUAUCUCCCAGCAACAUCGUCAUCUUCAGAAAGCAGCUGGCACCAGUCCAGUGCUCCCAGUGGCACCUGGGCAGCCCAAGGCCCUCCUGCUAUGGAGGACUCCUCAGCUGUGCUUAUGGAGAGCCUGAAGUCCAUCUGGUCCAGUUCCAUGAUGCACCCUGGACCCUCCGCCCUGGAGCAGCUGUUAAUGCAGCAGAAGCAGAAGCAGCAACGCGGACAAGGCACCAUGAACCCGCCGCAUUGAGACAGAGGUGGCAACCCUUGCAAACGAAGGCUCCAUAAACCAUGGCAUGUUGGGUUUGCAGGACUGGCCCACACAGUCCUGUGCAGGUGGCAGCCCUCUCUUCUGUUCCUUGCUGUCAGGAGGGCGUAAGUGCUCCACCAAACCACUGAGUGUGCACAAAACGUCUGCAGUGCAAGAAAACAACAUCAGGAACUCUCCCAUCCCUGGGCCCUCUGGAGGGAGAGAGGAACUGCUGUUUGUCUCACUCAGUAACCCGGUAUCACCGCCUCUCACCUUCUCCAUCGUGCAUGUCCCCAGCCACAUGGGAAGUAAAAGCUGAGAAUGAAGGGCAGAUGGGAGAAGCCGAUGAGAACUUCUCAAUCCUUUUCCUCUCUUUGGGGAGAUAAAAUAGGAAUCCAUUAAUGAUUGCUUUGCUGACUGAGAAUGUAGUUGAAAUUACUCCUAAACAUCUUUAUUACUAUCUCAGUAGUAAGAUCACACUGAAUUCUUCCGUACCAGACGUGCUUCGUAGUCAGUGUGUAGCAAUGAAAGCCCCAGUUGCUGCUCCAGUCAGAGGUGGUUGGUGGUGAGGUGGGGCUCUAUCUCCUGGGCUAGCGAAGGAGUUUCAUGAAGGAGAGUCUGGCACUUGGCACCACUUCACCUUUCCCCAAAGGCUUUGGCCAGCCUGUGGGUGGGUUAGAGACUCCAGCAUGAAAUGCCCUCCUCUCAGUAGGUGUUUGAGCUAUAAUCGGUGACAUGGGGCAUUGCAGCACUCUGCUGGACAAGCAAGUUAACUGCUAUGGGGUUUUAAAUUAAUGUUUGAUUCCUGUACAUUUUACUGUAGCAUAGUGGCUAGCCCCACAAAGGGCAGGCUAGUCUGUGCAUUCACAGCCUGACUCAUUUUAAUAGGUAGGUAGAAAGCUUUCAAUGGUUUUUGGUUUGGUUUUUUUUUUUUCCUUUCUCUCUCCAUCCUCCCAUCUUCGCUGGACGCUAGUAGUUUCAUUACCAACGUGCAACAUCUCGCAGAAAAUAAAUCAGGGGUCCAGCAGGGCUGGGUAAUGCCGACAGUCGGCUCGGACAGUGCGGAGUGUACGCACCCCCGCAAGCACGCAUCAGCUCUGCAGAAACCCGUCCCCCCGCGCCCCCCGCCCCCAGCUGCAGCCCCAAACUUUCCGUUCCAGAAUGAAAUUCAAGGCACCCGUGGACACACGUGUGUAGCGCACACGCGGAAGAAAGCAUAGUGCUGUUCAUAGAUGAAAAGGUGCAGAAGGGAAAAGGAAAACAUUUUAUUUGCUAUUUAUUAGGGGGAAGGAAGACUGGAAGCUUCAUUAAAGAAAAGGACAGCAUUUUCGUUAGGUUUCCCAGGGAAGUUAUGGAAACAAUCGCAAUGUCCAUUUGCUGUGUUUAGCAGUAGGGGUUUGUGUGAUGAUUCAGGAUCUCUGAGCUGGAAGUCAGCUGCAGAGCAAAGCACAUGCAGGAGCCGAAGUGACACUGGAGUCUGGGCAGCCCCAAAGAAUACAAAAAGGGAAGACGGAGGAGACGCGAUACCCCUCUUGGGGGUAUGAGCAGCACCCCCACGAUCUACACCGUAGCAACAUCACUGUUCUUUGUUGCAUUUCGAAGCUGUGUUUCCUUCAAAGAGUGAAGUUCCCACCCAGUGGUAAUACGAACCAAACCCCUCUGUGCUUCCCUCCAGCCCUCCCAGUUUGUGUAUCGAGCUGUGCACCCAGGCAGCUGCGACAUUCCAGUGUUUGAACCGUCACUGACUCUUGCACCCUAGACGAGCUAACCAGGUUCGCCAUCUCACUCCCGGCAGUGCCAGGGUCCCAGCCGCACCGUUCCACUUGUGCAUGAGCAUCCAGCCUCGGGAAUGCAUCCGACUGUCGGCUGGGACUCCCCUACCGCCCUCUGACACCAGGGGUGCAGGGAAAGGGGCCCCCAACAGAAACUGUGUGACCUCCUGAUGCACUGACCCUGCCCAGGAGCAUGUGUGUUACAGCCAAGCUGGCUCCUAUUUCUGCCUUCUCAAGUGCCACGUGAGUUAUACUAGGGCUCUGCUAACAGCCAUGGGUCCACUGGGGAACGGACCUGCAGGAGACUUCCCAAAAAGCAGCCCUUAGUUGGGUCCUGAUGACCUUCUGGCUCCUAGGCCUGUUGUUACACUUUGGAGAAGCUCCUGAAUGAUGAAAGCCCGAAACACUUCCAGGGCCGUGGUGCUUGCCAGGCAUGCCAGCACCUUUCAAUGUGCAAUAAAUAACAGGUUUGUAAC